rnacentral:rRNA from 1 species
AUUGCACGCUGGCGGCAGGCCUAACACAUGCAAGUCGAGCGGAGAUGCGGACGGGUGAGUAAUUCCUAGGAAUCUGACUGGUCGUGGGGGAUAACUUCCGGAAACGUGCCCUAAUACCGCAUACUAUCACAUGAGCCUAGGUCGGAUUUGCUUGUUGGUGGGGUAAAGGCGUACCAAGGCAACGAUCCGUAACUGGUCUGAGAGGAUGAUCAGUCACCGUUGAAUUGAGACACGGUCCAGACUCCUACGGGGGGCAGCAGUGGGGAAUUUUGGACAAUGGGCGAAAGCCUGACCCAGCCAUGCCGCGUGGGUGAAGAAGGUCUUCGGAUUGUAAAGCACUUUAAGUUGGGAGGCGUUACCAACAGAAUAAGCAACGGCUAACUUCGUGCCAGCAGCCGCGGUAAUUC